AUGAGUGAAUGUAUACGCAAUAAGAUUUGUGGUUGGUCAAAACGAAACCUUGCUUGUGCAGGUAGGGAGGUUCUUCUAAAAUCUAUUGCUCAGACAAUCCCAACCUAUAGUAUGAGUUGUUUUCAGCUGACAAAGAAAGCAUGCAAGACUACCACCUCGCCAAUGACAAAGUACUGGUGGGGAAGCUCUUUGGACAAGAGAUCCCUACAGUGGCUAGCAUGGGAUAAAUUGAUACAACCAAAAAUCAAGGGUGGUUUGGGUUUUCGAGAUCCUCAAGUUUUCAAUCUUGCAAUGCUUGGCAAGCAAGGCUGGCGACUCCUGACGAGCCCAGAUUCACUAUGUGCAAGGGUGUUGAAAGGUAAAUAUUUCCCUCACACAAGCUUUCUCCAAGCCUCGAUCCCUAAGGCUGGCCACAGUGGGAGUAACAUCACUAGUAACAUCACACUUUUCAAGAUAAUUUUGCUUAUGUGA
rnacentral:rRNA from 1 species